rnacentral:lncRNA from 1 species
AACCUACAUGGUAAAAGGAGAGAAAUGACUCUAGCAAGUUAUUCUCUCAUUUCCAUAACUGUCUACACAUAUAAACAAAAACAGAACUAAGUGUAAUUUAUCACAUUCUCUGUACUUCAGGUAUGUUCUUUCUUAUCUCCCUCAAUUCUAGAAAUACUGGUAUAAUUAUUCGAGUUUUUUAGAUUAGGUAAAGUAAGCACCUUUCCCAAAGUCAAGCAGGUCAGAUGCCUGAGCUGACAUUCAUAGCUAGAGCUGCUGAUUUUUUUUUUGUGUGUCUUAACACACACACACACACACACACACACACACACACACAGAGAGAGAGAGAGAGAGAGAGAGAGAGAGAGAGAGAGAGAGAGAGAGAGAGAGAGCAGGUUGAAUAGAGUAAAGCAUAGGCAUCGAAGGAGAAUGAGAUUGGUGGUGCAGACAUCUUGAAAGUCACCUACUUGUUCUCUCUGCAUAAAUAAGACAUAUGACAAGACCCUACCAAGGAGACUGCUUGUUCUGUGGUUUUACUCUUACACAAAGCAUUUAUCAGACACAGGGCUAGAGAGACUGCUCACCAGUUAAGAGCACGUUUGUUCUUUCAGAGAUCCUGGUUUCAGUUCCCAGCACCCACAUGGUGACUUACAACCAUCUGUAGUUCCAAUUCCAAGGGAUCUGACACCUUCUCUGGCCUCCAUUGGAACUAAGGCAUGCACGUGGCAUAUAGACUGCAAGCUAAACACUCCUACACAAGAGAAAAUAAUUCUU